rnacentral:rRNA from 1 species
GUGUCAGCCGCCGCGGUAAUACGUAGGUGGCAAGCGUUAUCCGGAAUUAUUGGGCGUAAAGCGCGCGUAGGCGGUCAUUUAAGUCAGUGGUGAAAACCCAGGGCUCAACCCUGGGAAUGCCAUUGAAACUGGGUGACUUGAGUGCAGGAGAGGUAAGUGGAAUUCCCAGUGUAGCUGUGACAUGCGUAGAGAUUGGGAGGAAAACCAGUGGCGAAGGCGACUUACUGGACUGUGUCUGACGCUUAGGCGCGAAAGCUAGGGGAGAGAACAGGAUUAGAGACCCUGGUAUUCC